GUGGCUCAGUGGCAGAGUGCUUGCCUUGCAUGCAUGAGACCCUGGGUUCGAUUCCUCAGC
rnacentral:tRNA from 1 species